rnacentral:rRNA from 1 species
GACGAACGCUGGCGGCGUGCUUAACACAUGCAAGUCGAACGGAAAGGCCCUGCUUUUGUGGGGUGCUCGAGUGGCGAACGGGUGAGUAACACGUGAGUAACCUGCCCUUGACUUUGGGAUAACUUCAGGAAACUGGGGCUAAUACCGGAUAGGAGCUCCUGCUGCAUGGUGGGGGUUGGAAAGUUUCGGCGGUUGGGGAUGGACUCGCGGCUUAUCAGCUUGUUGGUGGGGUAGUGGCUUACCAAGGCUUUGACGGGUAGCCGGCCUGAGAGGGUGACCGGGCACAUUGGGACUGAGGUACGGCCCAGACUCCUACGGGAGGCAGCGGUGGGGAAUAUUGCACAAUGGGCGGAAGCCUGAUGCAGCAACGCCGCGUGCGGGAUGACGGCCUGCGGGUUGUAAACCGCUUUCGCCUGUGACGAAGCGUGAGUGACGGUAAUGGGUAAAGAAGCACCGGCUAACUACGUG